rnacentral:rRNA from 1 species
GAUGAACGCUGGCGGCGUGCCUAAUACAUGCAAGUCGAGCGAACAGACGAGGAGCUUGCUCCUCUGACGUUAGCGGCGGACGGGUGAGUAACACGUGGAUAACCUACCUAUAAGACUGGGAUAACUUCGGGAAACCGGAGCUAAUACCGGAUAAUAUAUUGAACCGCAUGGUUCAAUAGUGAAAGACGGUUUUACUGUCACUUAUAGAUGGAUCCGCGCCGCAUUAGCUAGUUGGUAAGGUAACGGCUUACCAAGGCAACGAUGCGUAGCCGACCUGAGAGGGUGAUCGGCCACACUGGAACUGAGACACGGUCCAGACUCCUACGGGAGGCAGCAGUAGGGAAUCUUCCGCAAUGGGCGAAAGCUUGACGGAGCAACGCCGCGUGAGUGAUGAAGGUCUUCGGAUCGUAAAACUCUGUUAUUAGGGAAGAACAAAUGUGUAAGUAACUAUGCACGUCUUGACGGUACCUAAUCAGAAAGCCACGGCUAACUACGUG